rnacentral:rRNA from 1 species
UUAUUUGAGAGUUUGAUCCUGGCUCAGGACGAACGCUGGCGGCGUGCCUAAUACAUGCAAGUUGAGCGCUGAAGGUUGGUACUUGUACCGACUGGAUGAGCAGCGAACGGGUGAGUAACGCGUGGGGAAUCUGCCUUUGAGCGGGGGACAACAUUUGGAAACGAAUGCUAAUACCGCAUAACAACUUUAAACACAAGUUUUAAGUUUGAAAGAUGCAAUUGCAUCACUCAAAGAUGAUCCCGCGUUGUAUUAGCUAGUUGGUGAGGUAAAGGCUCACCAAGGCGAUGAUACAUAGCCGACCUGAGAGGGUGAUCGGCCACAUUGGGACUGAGACACGGCCCAAACUCCUACG